rnacentral:rRNA from 2 species
CGGGGCUUAAUGUCUUGUAAUUGGAAUGAUGGGAAUUUAAACCUCUUCCAGAGUAUCAAUUGGAGGGCAAGUCUGGUGCCAGCAGCCGCGGUAAUUCCAGCUCCAAUAGCGUAUAUUAAAAUUGUUGCAGUUAAAAAGCUCGUAGUUGAAUUUCUGCUACAUUGCCCUUUCUCCUUUACGAGUUUGGGUCUUUUGUGGCUUAUCUGGGUUCGCUUGCGUUCCCGGUGUUUUACUUUGAGAAAAUUAGAGUGCUCAAAGCAGGCUUUUGCCUUGAAUAGUUUAGCAUGGAAUAAUAAAGUAGGACUUUGGUUCUAUUUUGUUGGUUUUAGGUACCAAAGUAAUGGUUAAUAGGAACAGUUGGGGGCAUUCGUAUUUAACUGUCAGAGGUGAAAUUCUUAGAUUUGUUAAAGACGAACUACUGCGAAAGCAUUUGCCAAGGAUGUUUUCAUUAAUCAAGAAC